rnacentral:rRNA from 1 species
ACGGUCUAAUGUUUGACACUGAGUCUUUGCGAAGGAAACUUCGAGCGUGCCGAUGCGCGAAGCGCAGAGGAACGCGAAAGCAAAGAGGAUAACACCUUAGCAAAGGUUGAGUGUUAAACAUUAGAUAGUGGCGAACGGGUGAGUAACGCGUAGAUAACCUGCCUCUAAGAUGGGGACAACAACUCGAAAGGGUUGCUAAUACCGAAUGUGAACAGCGUCUCGCAUGGGAAGCUGUUUGAAGGUGGCCUCUGAAUAUGCUACCGCUUAGAGAUGGGUCUGCGUCUGAUUAGCUAGUUGGAGGGGUAAUGGCCCACCAAGGCGACGAUCAGUAGCCGGUCUGAGAGGAUGAACGGCCACACUGGGACUGAGACACGGCCCAGACUCCUACGGGAGGCAGCAGUGGGGAAUCUUCCGCAAUGGACGAAAGUCUGACGGAGCAACGCCGCGUGAGUGAAGAAGGCCCUCGGGUCGUAAAGCUCUGUCUUCAGGGACGAAUGUGCAGAUUGUGAAUA